rnacentral:tRNA from 1 species
GCGGGUCUGCAACUGGUGUCGCAGGGGGCCUGUAAAGCCCUCGCCGCAGGCGCGGCAUGGAGAGUUCGAUUCUCUCGGCCCGCAC